rnacentral:rRNA from 1 species
UCGGCUUAGAGUUUGAUCAUGGCUCAGAUUGAACGCUGGCGGCAGGCCUAACACAUGCAAGUCGAACGGUAGAGUAGCUUGCUACUUACGAGUGGCGGACGGGUGAGUAAUGUCUGGGGAUCUGCCUGAUGGAGGGGGAUAACUACUGGAAACGGUAGCUAAUACCGCAUAAUGUCGCAAGACCAAAGCGGUCCGUCGCACCAUCAGAUGAACCCAGAUGGGAUUAGCUAGUAGGUAGGGUAAUGGCUUACCUAGGCGACGAUCCCUAGCUGGUCUGAGAGGAUGACCAGCCACACUGGAACUGAGACACGGUCCAGACUCCUACGGGAGGCAGCAGUGGGGAAUAUUGCACAAUGGGCGCAAGCCUGAUGCAGCCAUGCCGCGUGUAUGAAGAAGGCCUUCGGGUUGUAAAGUACUUUCAGUCAGGAGGAAGGGUGUGAAUAAUUUCAUGCAUUGACGUUACUGACAGAAGAAGCACCGGCUAACUCCGUGCCAGCAGCCGCGGUAAUACGGAGGGUGCAAGCGUUAAUCGGAAUUACUGGGCGUAAAGCGCACGCAGGCGGUUUGUUAAGUCAGAUGUGAAAUCCCCGGGCUCAACCUGGGAACUGCAUUUGAAACUGGCAAGCUUGAGUCUUGUAGAGGGGGGUAGAAUUUCCAGUGUAGCGGUGAAAUGCGUAGAGAUCUGGAG